rnacentral:rRNA from 1 species
GACGAACGCUGGCGGCGUGCUUAAUACAUGCAAGUGGAGCGACGAACCAGGCUUCGGCCUGGGGCAGAGCCGCGAACGGGUGAGUAACACGUGGGUAACCUGCCUCGAUGACCGGGACAACCCGGGGAAACCCGGGCUAAUACCGGAUGUGCUGUCCCCACAUCAGUGGAGACAGGAAAGGAAGCUUCGGCCUCCGCAUCGAGAUGGGCCCGCGGCCCAUUAGCUUGUUGGUGUGGUAACGGCUCACCAAGGCUGCGAUGGGUAGCUGGUCUGAGAGGACGAUCAGCCACACUGGGACUGAGACACGGCCCAGACUCCUACGGGAGGCAGCAGUGGGGAAUCUUGCACAAUGGGCGGAAGUCUGAUGCAGCGACGCCGCGUGAGGGAUGACGGCCUGGU